UACGGAGGGGGCUAGCGUUGUUCGGAAUUACUGGGCGUAAAGCGCGCGUAGGCGGCUUUGUAAGUUAGAGGUGAAAGCCCGGAGCUCAACCCCGGAAUUGCCUUUAAGACUGCAUCGCUAGAAUCAUGGAGAGGUUAGUGGAAUUCCGAGUGUAGAGGUGAAAUUCGUAGAUAUUCGGAAGAACACCAGUGGCGAAGGCGACUAACUGGACAUGUAUUGACGCUGAGGUGCGAAAGCGUGGGGAGCAAACAGG
rnacentral:rRNA from 1 species